rnacentral:lncRNA from 1 species
GGCUGCCCAAAUCAAAUUUUUCAAGAAUUGGUUUCAAUUCUUUCUCAGUUUGCUCCUCAUGCAGAAUUAGUUUGGACUCUGAUUUUCUUUCAUUUAAUUUUUUUCAAGAUAGCUCUUUGCCACCCAAAAUUGGUUGCCAUAUCAGAUCUUUGUGCCAAGAAACACUAAGAAGAAUCUGGGUGUAUCGGGUGUUUCUUGUUGUGUCCAACAUUGUUACCAACUUCAACCUACUGUAGCCACCUCAUCUGGAAUCCAAAUUCAAUUCUGUAAAUUAUGUUCCUUUCUUGCUUCUCUCAAAAUUUUGUAGGAUCUAAUCUUGCUCAAUUUGAAGUCCUGUAGCUUGUCUUUUAGGGGUCCUCACACCAAAAUAUCCAGAAUUUAGAUUGGUUGACUAGAUGGGAGAGAUUAACUGCUUGAUUUAUUUUCUGCACCUCUAGUUUCUUUUCUGACUGAUGUUGCCAAAAAGGAUAAGAUGUGGGGUCCAUUGAUAUCUUGAUUUGGUUAUUCUGCUUUGAGAUGGACUCUGAUUUUGAUGCAAGACCUGAUGACUCCGGAUGACAAACCCUGCUGAAUCGGACUCAACCAAUUUCACUUAAUUUGACCUUUAAAACAUGGUUAAGCCCAAUUAGG